rnacentral:rRNA from 1 species
ACUAACAACUCUGGCUAUAUUUACACAUGCAAGUAUCCGCACCCCUGUGAGAAUGCCCUAACAGUUUCCCGCCAGGAAACGAGGAGCGGGUAUCAGGCACACGUCAGCCCAAGACGCCUUGCUUAGCCACACCCUCAAGGGAACUCAGCAGUGACAAACAUUGAGCCAUGAGUGAAAACUUGACUCAGUUAAAGCCAGGGCCGGUAAACCUCGUGCCAGCCACCGCGGUUAUACGAGAGGCCCAAGUUGUUAGGCAUCGGCGUAAAGGGUGGUUAAGGCAAAUCUCCAAACUAAAGCCGAACAUCUUCCAAGCCGUCAUACGCACACGAAGACAAGAAGCCCGAUAACGAAAGUGGCUCUAACCUGCCUGAACCCACGAAAGCUAUGACACAAACUGGGAUUAGAUACCCCACUAUGCCUAGCCCUAAACAUUGACAGUAAAUUCAACUGUCCGCCCGGGAACUACGAGCACCAGCUUAAAACCCAAAGGACUUGGCGGUGCUUUAGACCCACCUAGAGGAGCCUGUUCUAUAACCGAUACCCCCCGUUAAACCUCACCCUUCCUUGUUUCCCCCGCCUAUAUACCGCCGCCGUCAGCUUACCCCAUGAGGGACCCACAGUAAGCAUAAUUAGCAUAGCCCAAAACGUCAGGUCGAGGUGUAGCGCAUGGAAGGGGAAGAAAUGGGCUACAUUCCCUACACAGGGAACCACGAAUGACAUUUUGAAACAAGUGUCUAAAGGAGGAUUUAGCAGUAAGUAAAAA